CUUUUAAAGGAUAAUAGUCAUCCAUUGGUUUUAGGGGCCAAACACUCUAGGUGCAACUCCAAGUAAAAGU
rnacentral:tRNA from 1 species